AGUCUGGGAGGCUGGCGCAAACGCAGCGGGUGGCUGGGGUAGGGGCUCAUUGGGAGCCCACGGAGCGCGGCGGCGGCUCGGGGGCCGAGUUCCCUACAACAAGGAUGGCGGUGACGGGCGCAGGGAGCGGGGCCCGGCUCUCCUUGCCUCGAGGCUCCUCUGAUUCCACUCGCGUGGCUGCGCGGCCCUGGCAGCGGCCUUCGUCCCGGGGGUGGGAGCUACACAGGGUUCCGCCCCGUCCUGGCGAGGACGCCUGAGGGGGCUCUGUGAUAAAGAAAUGGGGGCUCCGAGCAGUCAAGAAGAACAUGCCCCAAGUUAUUCGUCAGUGAGGCGGAAAUUGUGGUGUACUUGUGGCUGAGCUGCAACAUCGUAUUUAUAACAGGAAGAAGUCUCUCUCUUUCACUACCUGGUUUCAAGAAAAUGAACUGCAGCAAGACGUUCUUCAAGUAUUCCAGGAAGGAAUUCAGUUAACUACAGCAGCUGCAUGUGAAGCAUUUCAAAGGAGUUUAUGACAUCACCGUAUAAAAUCCAUUUGACAUGAAAACCGGAACUCCAACUAUGAGAUAGUUUCAAAGCUGCAUUUGCCUAGAAAGUGGAUUGCUGCGUAUGAACCAAGUGUUGGGCUAUAUAACUCCACUGUCCUAAGCUAUUUGGGGUUGGAAGGAAGAGGGGUGAAGUAGAAAGGCAAGAAGCUAAUACAAGAGGAGAAAAAGUAGAUGAGACACAUCAAGAAAUUCUCACGAGAAACAGAUGAAGAGGUGGAAAUGAGUCAGUCCAGCAGCUUACCAAGUAUCACUGACGAGGAGAGGAUGCAUCCUGUGUAAAUACUGGGGUUCUUGUCUCAGAAGCACAGGGUAUCAUGGAAAUGGAGUUGAAAGCUGGGGAACUGAUGGAACGUCUCCAUGAGGAGCAACUAACUGGAGCCAUGGGUUGGUACCAAGAUGUUCCCUCUGCCUUCUACUUUCGAUAGAAACUAAGCCAGUAUGGCAUGGGGCUCUGAAAAUGGGCUGAGGGGAACAUCGGCAGCCUCCACUAACCCCCUGCCCCUACCCUGUUCCUGAAGUCCCAGGCAGUUAAGACGUCCACAGUGAACGGCACUUAAUCAAAACAAAAGUUCAGACACAGUGAAAAUUCAGGAAUAUAAGAUAAUGUAAAACACUAUCAGAAAAAUGAGGCAAAGAAUGAUAUAAAAAAGGUAAUAGGAUGUUCAAGUCUUUGAGGAAGAUUUCCAGGUUGAAACCAAGCCAUAGCUUUUAGUAUAUUUUCAUUUUAGGUUAGGCAAGAAAGUUAGCGAACUUUGUCCUCAAACCUAGGACCAUUUAAAAAAGUGACAAUAAAGAAGACUAAGAAAUCAUGAAGAGAGUAUAAAUUUAUGAAAAUAUAACAUUUGGCCAGGCGUGGUGGCUCAUGCCUGUAAUCCCAACACUUUGGGAGGCUGAGGCAGGCAGAUCACGAGGUCAGGAGAUUGAGACCAUCCUGGCCAACAUGGUGAAACCAUGCCUCUAGUAAAAUAAAAAAAAUUAGCCGGGCAUGGUGGUGCGUGCCUGCAGUCCCAGCUACUCGGGAGGCUGAGGCAGGGGAAUCGCUUGAACCUGGGAGGCGGAGAUUGCAGUGAGCUGAGAUUGCACCACUGCACUCCAAACCUGGAGACAGAGCGAGACUCUAUCUCAAAAAAAAAAAAAAAAAAAAAAAAAAAAAAGAAAAUAUAACAUUUAAAUAAGUCAUUUAGGUUUACUGGGCUAGUUAGUGAUUUGUUAGCUACGAUAAUGUUUUUAUUAGUCAGAAAAUGUUAUUUUAUAGAGAUGCAUACUGAAGUAUUUAAUGGUGGAAUGUCAUGAUAUAUACAAUUUACUGAAAAUAACUGAAUUCAGCUUUAAAAUAAUCUGACAAGGAUAGCUAGUGGCCUUGCACAGUGGCAGGACAGAUCUAUUAGGAGCAGCAAAGUACAGGGGAAAAGCAUGUACUUUUCAGACAGCUAUGGGUUUAAAUUUUGUUCCACCAUUUACCAGCUUCAAUUUUUCUCUCAACCAGUGAUGAGAUUAAAUAACGUAUGUAGAGCCCAGGGCCUGGGUCAUAAGAACUCCUCAAUAAGCAGUAUGACUAUAUUCUGAGGGGUGAUUUAUCAGUGAGCCAGGGUGGAAAUACCUCAUUUGAGUAAUCCUCAACUGUUCUGCAACAUUCCUAGAUGUUUCUGGUGUCUACUUUAAACAGGAAAAACUUCCCAUGCCACUUUGCCAUCUCCACCUGAAAACUGUUUAGUAGUUCAGUACUAUAAAUAUCAGUUGAAUAAUUUAAAUUCACUGGUUAUCUUUAGAAUUCAACGACUCACACCCAUUUAAGUUUUAUUUAAGCAUAUGUGAACAAUGAUUUGUGAACAUCUCUCUAGUUUCUAAAUCUAUUACGGUUUCUUAGAAAAAGUAGGAAUUAAGAAAUAAUCUUUAUGUAAUAGGUGUAAAAGAAGUAUUUUGGCUGGAUGCAGUGGCUCAUGCCUGUAAUACCAGCACUUUGGGAGGCCAAGGCAGGCGGAUCACGAGGUCAGGAGAUCGAGACCAUCCUGGCUAACAUGGUAAACCCUGUCUCUACUAAAAUUACAAAGAAAUUAGCCAGGCAUGUUGGCGGGCACCUGUAGUCCCAGCUACUCGGGAGGCUGAGGCAGGAGAAUGGCGUGAACCUGGGAGGUGGAGCUUGCAGUGAGCUGAGAUCGUGCAUGUGUAUGGAGGGUCAAGAAAACCAAACUGGCGGUUUUCACGGCGGCCAGGUUUUCUGAUCUCACCUUAAUUUGCUCCAUAAGAAUUGCAUUGGUUGCUUCUGUUUCCCGAAGCAGGCCGUUUAAGUGAUCUGCACUUUUU
rnacentral:lncRNA from 1 species